AUCUAGUCUAGGGGUAUGAUUUUCGCUUCGCAAGCCUGGUGCUUUAUUGUGAAAGGUCAUGGGUUCAAUUCCCAUAGUGUCCA